AUGCAGUAUUCAGUGUACACUGUGCGUUGUGCUGGAAUCCUCUGUGUGUGUGUGUGUGUGUGUGUGUGGCAGGAACAGGCCGAUCUCCUGCAGCAGCGUUUGAUCUCUGUGACGGAGGAGCGCUGGAGGGACACCUCACUGCUGUCUCUUCAGCUGGAGCAGGUGAGCUGUGAUUUACAGCAGCUGCAGGGCUCAGACAAGCAGCUGAUGGGCCUGGUGGACGAGCUGCACCAGGAGGCCCAGCUCAGAGCCCAGCAGACUGAGGUCUUGGAGACGCAGCUCCACGAGGAGACUCAGAAAAUACAAGAUCUGGAGAUGCAGCUGAACAGCAAAUCGCUCGAGCUGAUGGAACUCCAGAUGUCCCAUGAAGCCCUGCGGCAGGAUCUGUGUGAUCAGCGCAGCGCCCACCAGAGGAAGGUGGAGGAACUGCGGCGCGAGAAUUCGGAGAGUCUCGGCAAACUCCGUGAAACGGCCGAACAGUUCGAGUGGCUCUGCGAGCAGCAGCGGAGGUGGAUGAGCUGCGUCAGGAGAUUUAAGGACUGUCUGUCAGGUGAGAAGGAGUCCCUGGAGCUGCAGGUGAACAGGUUACAGAUGGAGUUGGAUACUGUCAGGAAUACUGUGCAUUUCAAUCAUUCCACAGAAUCCUGCAGCAGGUGGGAUGUUGAGGUGAUGUCUGACCUCCAGGCGGAGGUGGACCGAUGGAAAACACUGUAUGAAGACCUGCUCCAACUCACCACGCAGCAGGGCCAGAGGGCAGCAGAUGGACACCUCAAACCCCCGUGAGGACCCAAACACAGAUGACAGCUUCACAUCACACACUGAUUCAAAAGUGAUCCAUGAAAAACCCUUAAACCUGUAGUUCUGUUGACAUCAUUGUUAUUGAAUGUGCAGGGUUUAUGAAAGACGAGAGCUGUUCAGGUCAAGUUCUU
ensembl:lncRNA